GAGUUUGAUCCUGGCUCAGNGUGAACGCUGGCGGCAGGCCUAACACAUGCAAGUCGAGCGGCAGCGCGGGGGCAACCCUGGCGGCGAGCGGCGGACGGGUGAGGAAUUCGUCGGAAUCUGCCUUUUUGUGGGGGAUAACGUAGGGAAACUUACGCUAAUACCGCAUACGUCCUACGGGAGAAAGUGGGGGACCGCAAGGCCUCACGCAGAAAGAUGAGCCGACGACCGAUUAGCUAGUUGGUGGGGUAAAGGCCCACCAAGGCGACGAUCGGUAGCUGGUCUG
rnacentral:rRNA from 1 species